rnacentral:hammerhead_ribozyme from 1 species
AUCCAAUUGACCAGUCCCAAAUAGGACGAAACGCAUGUCAAACUGGAU